AAAUCCCUGCAUCGAGCGUGGGGAAAAGCGAAAUUUUGAGCCAACACUAACAGACUGGGAAUCUGUCUCCGUUGCUCGAUCACAUGCCCGUUCAAACGGGACGUGAGAGAUCAGCGGGAGGAUACCCACCCUAUGUGCAAUAGGUUCAAAAGAUCCCUUUUCUCCUCUCGGUAGCAGGGAUUUU
rnacentral:other from 1 species